ACCCUGAGGUGCACAAAGGAUUUAUCCCAGCAUUUGCCCCAGAAUUUGUCCUAGGAUUUUCCACUUGUCCUGCUGAAAUAUUUCCCAAAUUUUCCUCCCUCUGGGUCUUUUCUGUGUUUGAAUUUCGGUGUUUGACCCCGCAGAGCCCUCCUGGAAUUCCUGCUGGGCAAAACCAGCUCCAAAUUCCCUUUGUAACCCAAAUUCUCCUUUUAACCCAAAUUCUCCUUUUAACCCAAAUUCCCUUUUUAACCCAAAUUCUCCUGGUUUUCCCCACCAGUCGGAUGAGCAGACCUGUGAGGAUCUGGCGGAGGGUGAUCAUUACCUGGGCAGCUCCGUGUCGGUGUCACCUGGCGCUGUCACCUCCCCCACGGCCUCGCUCUUCCUCGACAGCCUCACCACCGAAGAUGACACCAAACUCAACCAGUUUGCAGGAGAGGGGAGCAGCCUGCCCUCACAGAGCGCGGGUGCCCCAAUCCCCACGGGCACCGUGGUUGGCAUCGUGGUGGCCGUGCUGGUGCUGGCCGGGGCCAUCCUGGCCGGGAUCUACAUCAGCGGCCACCCCACGUCCAGCGCCGCCCUCUUCUUCAUCGAGGUGAGGCAGCAGCUCAGCCCCGCCCGGGGAAUCAUCCCAUCCUCCUCAUCCUCCCCUCUCCUGGAUCUGGGUCCUCCCAGGCAG
rnacentral:lncRNA from 1 species